CUCCCGCGGCGGGCCGAGUCUCCAGGAAGGACCUGAGUUUUCUUUACCCAUGGUCAGGGAGGCGCCAUCGCCCUGGCUUUGGGGCUGGGGCCUCAGGGGAGGUUCCGGUAGGGGCCUUGGAGAGGCUGCUCUUUUUGCAAGGCCCGACACGGCGGGCCCUGCGCAGGCCACCCUAUUCCCCGCCCUCAGGGCGUCAGUAUCCGCCUGAGGCCGGAUACCCCCGCUGGGCCCAGAUGCUCCCUCUGGGCCCGGAGCAUCCUCGGCGCUGCCCUCCCAGAGCCCCGCAGAGGCUGAAGUGGCGCGGGGUAGGGGGGCCCGGCUCCGCGAGAAGCGGCGGCAGCGAGGGCUGGAGGACCCGGGCUCCCGGGCUCCGGGUCUCCGGGGCUCCGGGGGGUCUGGCCUGGGUGGGACUGAGCCCAUCCAGGAACUGGGACUCCGGGGUUCUGGUGUGGGUGGAUCCGGGGCAGGCUCAGGACCAAGUCCCUCUCCUUCCACCAAGAAGCGCCCAGAGGCCGGCGGGAGCUCCAGGUUCACCUCCUCCUCCUCCAGGAAAACCCACUUCCAACUGGAUGUCUGGAUGAACUACUGAAAGCUGCUGAGUGUCCUGCAGCAGGUGAGCUGUGGCCAGAGCCCAAGAAUGAAGGGGGCUCCCUCAGUCUGUGACUGUGAAGAGGAAGCCUGAGGUUUAGCAGGCUCAGGCCCCAGAAGUAUGGAAAAAAUGAGGCCAGUUAUCCAGGCAGUGACUUUCAGUACAGCUACAGUCACCUCUGGACACCUGCAGAGACUUUAAAAAUUUCCAGAAGGUCAGGAAUUUUUGGAGACCUUUCUCAUGGCUACGUUGCCUGCAAAGGUGAAUUAAUAAGCUUCUGAACUGACUUAGAAAAUGUUUCAGAGACUCUGGUGGGCAGAUAGACCCUCUCCUGCCACUCCGGAUAGAUGUAUCUGCGUCACACACACCUGAUUUAACAACAUCUUAUUAUCUCAGGCACCAAUUUGAUCUUCUACUACUUUACAGACAUCUCUUCUGCAAACACCAGACAAAUUGAGACAAUGACCUUCAGCAGCACCCAAACCACCUCUUACUGCAGGAAAGAAGAUCCAGUGAGACAGUUAGUCCACAAUUGGAAUGUAAAUCCAUAAACACUCUUAAGUAAUAGAAUAAAUUUAGUAUGAGCAUUUUUAUGUGGGAGCUCUUGAAAUGGUUGCUGCUCAUAUGUCAGAGACACAUGCAGAUUAAGAAAGGUAGCAGUACCAAUCCUGGUUUGGCCCAAGAGUCACUACAUUUUUGGUGGGGAAAAGCGAUGUGAGAGGAGAUGGUACAUCUUCAUCUUUUUCUCUGUGUUUUCUGUCAGAAAGUGCUGUUGCUUACCCCAGUGGCAAAAAAUGUCAGUGUCUUCUGCCAGAGUGGGUUACUGAGGACCAUGGUGGUUCCACCUUGUGGCUGAUACAGAUAGUCCCUUUCUGCUUUUGUUUCUAGCCAAAAAAGAUGUUUCUGGCAUCUCAGGUAUGCUGAUUUCAGCAGUUGUUUUUUCUAUGUGGCUAUUCUUUUUUCUUUCACUCUCUCUCUCUCUCUCCCUCUUCUUCUUUUUUUUUUUUUUUUUUUUUUUUGGCUUCACUGUGUUGCCAUAGUUUCUAAAAUGGUCCCUUGAACACUCUCAGGGCUAUUUUGGUUUGCACAAAGCUAUCUAUAUAUUUUUUCUUGGGGGGAGGGUAUAGAGCUAAAGGUUGGUAUAUCCUGCUCCUGCUCCCCCAAGUGACAUUAUUCCCCCAAGCUAAUAUUUCAGGCUUUCAAUUCAUUCAUGCUUUCAUCUGUUCAAACAUAAGUAGAAAUUACUUUUUCUCCCCACAUUUAUAUUUAAUCUACUUUAAUUGCUAAUAGUGUCUUAAUCGUAGAAUACAUUAGUUAGAAAAAAGAUAUUUUUGACAUUAUAAAUUGUUAUUUCAAUUUGUGUCUAAAAGUGGAAAAUAUUAGAAUGCUUAACAUUUAUUAUUGUGUUCAGACCAGUAUUUUCUCCAGAUGACCUUUAUUACAAUAAAGAUAAUUUAAUGAAGAUUUCUCUAAUGGUAAAGCUGAUGGCUUUGUGCUAUUAUAAUAUCCUUAAAAUAAACUGACAGUCUGGUGAAAAGAACAACUAAAGCAAGGAUUAGGAAAGAAACAGUUAAUACCUUCAUUUUGAUCUCACUCUGCAUUAAGAGUCUUCAUUGUGUCAAAGUUUUAUUAUACUUUAAGUAAUUUAAUGUUUAUUUAAUAAUAAAUGGAUCCUAUUAAAUAUGAUUUUUAAAAUUAUAAUCACA
rnacentral:antisense_RNA from 1 species